AUCGGAGGGCGCCUCGUUGCUUAUCGUGAAUAUUACACCGACAUGAAUUACUACAAGUAUACUGGUCUGUCCAAUAUGCAUUGACCGUAUUGGGUAUGGUCUCUGCUCUGAGAAGGGAAUCGCUGGAGCCACAGUCCAACUAUACAGGCUUUCAAGAAACAGAGAGGAGCCAUCUGUGCAAGCUGAUACCUGAUGUGUACCGACAGAAUUCUCACGAGAUACCUUUUGGACUACGUCUGGUGUAUACUUCAUAGUACUCCUUCGACUACGGUCUAGAAUCAAGUCGACUGAAACAAGUUUAAACAACUCUGGCUUCAAACGAGCCGUCGAUUAGACAAACAAAACAUUCUCUCAUAUACUAGAGCACUCUGACAACUCAUGACCUAUUCCUAACGAUUGCCACCGCUUAUAAAUAUGUAGAGUGCUGAUUGGAAUGUGCUCACAAUCUCAACAGUGCUAUAAUUAUUUGAACAAUGUGUUAGAAUAUUCCACUUUUCCUUCCAUAAAUGUUGUAUCCACAUAUAAUCCACAGUGCUGCAAAGUUUCAGAGUUCUCAGGGUAUCAAACAAAAUUAUUUCAAAUACAGUGAAAUUGUUCGUGGACAUUAUAGCGUAACUUGUAGUCCCCUGGUCCUUUUCUUUGCUAUAAAUUAAUCCUUUGCUCUCUA